rnacentral:rRNA from 1 species
AUUGAACGCUGGCGGCAUGCUUUACACAUGCAAGUCGAGCGGCAGCGCGAGGGCAACCUUGGCGGCGAGCGGCGAACGGGUGAGUAACACAUCGGAACGUACCCAGGAGUGGGGGAUAGCCCGGCGAAAGCCGGAUUAAUACCGCAUACGAUCUGUGGAUGAAAGCGGGGGACCUGGCAACAGGCCUUGCGCUCAUGGAGCGGCCGAUGUCCGAUUAGCUAGNGGUGGGGUAAAGGCCUACCAAGGCGACGAUCGGUAGCUGGUCUGAGAGGAUGAUCAGCCACACUGGGACUGAGACACGGCCCAGACUCCUACGGGAGGCAGCAGU